rnacentral:piRNA from 1 species
UGCAUCCCCAGGACCACCCAGCAUGGA